AUUGAACGCUGGCGGCAUGCUUUACACAUGCAAGUCGAACGGUAACGCGGGGGCAACCCUGGCGACGAGUGGCGAACGGGUGAGUAAUACAUCGGAACAUGUCCUGGAGUGGGGGAUAGCUCGGCGAAAGCCGGAUUAAUACCGCAUACGCUCUGAGGAGGAAAGCGGGGGACCUGGUAACGGGCCUCGCGCUGCGGGAGUGGCCGAUGUCGGAUUAGCUAGUUGGUGAGGUAAAGGCNCACCAAGGCGACGAUCCGUAGCUGGUCUGAGAGGAUGAUCAGCCACACUGGGACUGAGACACGGCCCAGACUCCUACGGGAGGCAGCAGUGGGGAAUUUUGGACAAUGGGGGCAACCCUGAUCCAGCCAUGCCGCGUGAGUGAAGAAGGCCUGG
rnacentral:rRNA from 1 species